rnacentral:rRNA from 1 species
AUUGAACGCUGGCGGCAGGCCUAACACAUGCAAGUCGAGCGCGCGGCGGACGGGUGAGUAAUGUCUGGGAAACUGCCUGAUGGAGGGGGAUAACUACUGGAAACGGUAUCUCAUACCGCAUACCAUCAGAUGUGCCCAGAUGGGAUUAGCUAGUAGGUGGGGGAAUGGCUCACCUAGGCGACGCUCCCUCGCUGGUCUGAGAGGAUGACCAGCCACACUGGAACUGAGACACGGUCCAGACUCCUACGGGAGGCAGCAGUGGGGAAUAUUGCACAAUGGGCGCAAGCCUGAUGCAGCCAUGCCGCGUGUAUGAAGAAGGCCUUCGGGUUGUAAAGUACUGUCAGCGAGGAGGCGUUACUCGCAGAAGAAGCACCGGCUAACUCCGUGCCAGCAGCCGCGGUAAUUC